rnacentral:misc_RNA from 1 species
AGUUGUUUAAUUUCUCAUUGUUACAAGAUUCUCGUACUUCGAGUUUGGUUGUUGAUAAAAAUGACAAUAAUAAUAGUCGAUAAAACAUACGGACGUUCCUGUCAGAUGUUACAGCAGAAAACUCUGCAUUCCGUAAGAACUUGCGCCAGGAUUGGCGGUUUGAGUCGCGCCACUUUUGUUUGCUGCGCCAGUUUUGUCGCGCAAACAAAAAAGCAGUAUAAAUAAAGUUGGCUUGCGUCUGAGUUGUAGAAAGAAAAUUUCAGUACUAGAAAAUUUAGAAGAAAAUUUCGUUUCGGUAAUGGAUGUGAAAAAAACCAGACUAGGUAAUUUUACCAUGCGUGAAAAAUUGAAUCUCCUAGCAAAAUUACAGUUGAAAGAAACCAAAGGAUUAUCGAAAAUAAGAAAAUCGAUGCGGUGAGUUCAAGGCAGAAGGAGGAAUGCUGGAAGAAAAUUGUCAACGAAUUGAAUAGUGAAUGCACUGGAGAACAUAGAAAUGUCAACUCCGUGAAAAGUAUCUGGAAAAUUAAAAAAAAAAAAAACUCGCAAGCAUUAUGCUGCAAUUCGCCAAGAAGAUCUUGCAACAGGUGGUGGCACUAUGGAUAUAAAAGAAGAUCCAUUACUGAAUUUAGUAUAAGGGCGAUAACCAACCAUCUGUUGAUGGGUUGGUGGAUGUAUUUGAUAGCGAUGCUACUGAAGUUUUAGAUAAUAAUGAACCUGAAAUAGCUCAAAAUUUUGUUGAUGACUAGGAUUAUAAAAAAGAGUACGAACUUAUGGUAACAGAG